rnacentral:rRNA from 1 species
AUUGAACGCUGGCGGAAUGCUUUACACAUGCAAGUCGAACGGUAGAGGGGGCAACCCCUUGAGAGUGGCGAACGGGUGAGUAAUAUAUCGGAACGUGCCCAGUCGUGGGGAUAACGUAGCGAAAGUUACGCUAAUACCGCAUACGAUCUAAGGAUGAAAGCGGGGGACUCGCAAGAGCCUCGCGCGAUUGGAGCGGCCGAUAUCAGAUUAGGUAGUUGGUGGGGUAAAGGCUCACCAAGCCAACGAUCUGUAGCUGGUCUGAGAGGACGACCAGCCGCACUGGAACUGAGACACGGUCCAGACUCCUACGGGAGGCAGCAGUGGGGGAAUUUUGGACAAUGGACGCAAGUCUGAUCCAGCCAUUCCGCGUGCAGGAUGAAGGCCCUCGGGUUGUAAACUGCUUUGUACGGAACGAAAGGUUUCUAUUAAUAUUAGGAGCUCAUGACGGUACCGUAAGAAUAAGCACCGGCUAACUACGUGCCAGCAGCCGCGGUAAAGUGACUAC